UGUCUUUUCUUUUCUCCCAGCCGCCCCCUUCCCCAAAUUCUUUUCUCUUCCUCCAGACCCGUUGCCCUCCCCAAAUUUUUUUUCUCUCUUCAAGAGACGCCAAUAAGUUUGGCCCCCUUUUGCAAUCUAAUCCUUUUGUUUUUCUUUUCUUUGUCUUUGUCUUGCAAUCUAAUUUUUUUUAAAAAGAAAAAGAAAAAAAAAGAGAGAAAGAUUUAAAGAUGGUGGAAUAAUCGACCUCGAUUCGAUUUCGCUGCUUGGCGGCUUGUUGAUGUCUCGUCCCGUCGAUUCGAGCUUGUCGCAUAAGAAUGCGUUGUUGCGUUGCAUCGAGCACGUGAAGCUCUGGGUCGCUAAGUGUGAUCGGCCUAUUGAUUCCAAUGCCAACCUUACUUAUUCGGCAUUGAGAGAGAGGCUGAAUAAGAUUAUGGCUUCGGACUAUUUCACUACCUCGCCGGAAAUGAAGGCUCCGGUGGAAGUUGUAGCUGGAAAUUACGCCUCUUUCCAGGUACCGAUCACAGGGCCAACACAAGUGGAAGGUUCAGUUGCUCAGUUCCAGCAUCAGGUAUAACUUUUUAAUGAUUUCGGUUUUGUUUUCUGCUUUUUGGAUUUUGAUAUCGAUAAAUUUGCCUUUUUGUUAUGGUCUUGUAUUACUCGUUAUGAUAUAGAUUUGCGCAUUGCUUUAUUCGAUGACUUGCAUUGUAGUCUUAAUAUGAGAAACUUUGUUGAGGAAUUGGUGGAAUAAUGUAUUUUAGUGGUUGGCGUUUUACUCUGUAAAUGUGAACAAUAUUUGAUUUUUCUAGAAGCUUAAGAUGAUUUGAUUGGGUUACACUAAAGUGAUAAUAGUAAUGUGACUGCGCGUAUCUUUUUAUGUGCUUAAGAUGUGUUGGGAGUUGAUAAUUAGCACUCACAUUGCUAGAAUCUACUGACAGUGAAAAAAGAAAUUUUGGUAGCUAGUUCCCAUUUGUGCAGUAACCUAUGGAUUGUAGAAACAGUGAAUGGGUUUUUUUUUUUUUACUUAUUAUAUAUGAAUGUGUAAUGGAGUGUAUUAAUUUUUGGUAAUAUAUGAAACACAAAGGCCUUGAAAUAACUAUAAGCUGGUCAAUAUAAACCUUUCUCAUUUCUGUAUUAUAUAAAUAGGUUUCUAGUUCCUACAUUGAAUACUGGGAGAUGGGCAUUAAAGUUUACCAUUGCAUUACAUGCAUAGACCUGUGAUUUUGUGAAGCUGUUAUGUUAAAGCCCAUAGAUUUUCAAUCUUAAAAAAGAUCUAAUUUCUUUGUCUUUGUCUCUAUCUCCACUUACGGCGACACCAACCGCAUCAACUCUGCCGUCCAACAAGCUCUCUCCUCCACCGGCAUCUCCCUCAACCACGUCCCCGCCGGGGUGAAAGAUGCAAGUGACAAGAAGGUGUAGUGGUACUAGUAGUAGACUUGUUCUACGGUUUUUAUUAAUGUCAAACCUGGAAAGAUCAUAUAGAGAGUAAUGGAAGUUAUAGAAGGUGAUAAAAAUCUACUAAUGUGAGCAUCGACUUUGGAAUAAGGCAUGGGGAUAAUACAAUAGAAGUUAUUAACUUGAAGCUCUAGAGAUGGCAAUCAAGAAGAACACUAUAGUGUUCUUGGAGACUGGCUCUGGCAAGACUCUGAUUACCAUUAUGCUUCUGCGCAGCUUUGCCUAUCUUCUCCGCAAACCUUCGCCUUUCAUUGCAAUCUUCUUAGUUCCCCAAGUUGUGUUGGUCCCUCAAGUAUGCCAACUGUUAACUUCCUCUCUUUCUCAUUGUAUACAUAAUCACAUGUAUGUAAUAGGCAUAUGUAAUUGUUUAUGCAUUUAAGGCAUUAGGUUUUUUAUUUAAAUGGGAUUCAUCACAUGUAGGGAUCAAUAAAUGCCUUGAAAGUAUUGGGUUUUAAUGGAAUGAAUCACAUUUCUCUUUUAAA